GUGUGUGACGUUCUUCUUCACUGUGAUGGGAACCCACACAAUACAAACCUGAAGCACUGAUUUGAAUCAGGUCUGUGGAUAAACUACAAACUUCAUGCUGAUCCGAAAACCAACCCAUUUUUAUGUCUGUUUUUGUACUAAACGAUUUAUCCGAGCAGAAUCCUCCACAUAACUGAAACAAAAAUGCACAUUUGUGUGUCACACAAACGAUCCCCUGCCCUCCCUCAACACGUACGUACACACCGGGAAAUAAGCAAGCAAGUAACGCAACAUGCAAGCAAAUGUCUCUGGGGGACGGAGAUGGAAACAAACACAGUAGUUAUAGUGACUGUCUCUAUCCACUCUGUGCAUUUAAAGAAAUGCUCCGAGACUCUCACUAUGCGUGAAAACAGCACGUCUAAACUUUAUAGAAACAUCCGAUACAUCGCUGAGACUAAUCUAGUUUGUGUUGCUGAUCAAUGCUGUAAUUGUGUUCCUCCUUCCUUGCAGAUGAACAAGAAUCUGGAGGUGACGUGAAAUAUGUGAGCGCUUGAUAUAUACUGUAAAUAGCAUCCUGGUGUUGGUAUGUGGACAUGGGCGAUAUUUCCUGUGACGGUUUCCUGACCAUCAGCAAAAUAGAGUGAAAUACAUACAGUGCAUAGUAUAGUACAGUAUAGUACAGUAUAGUGUUAUUUAUUUCUGUACCUUUGAGUCACAAAUUGCUGGAACCAAAUUCCUUGUGUGUGUCAAAACACUUUCAAUCUGAUUCUGAUUACAUGGGGGUGGUCACGUCAGAGGCUAAGUAAAGCGCAUAAUAUGCUAGAUAUUGUUAGGUACUGUUUUGGGGACCAGAAGAUACUUUUGAGUGUGAGCUCGGAGUUUUUAAUUUGAGACAGAGCUCAUGACAACGAUCACGAUGGAGGCGUAAAGUUUUAACAGACAUAGAGCGUCUAAAAUGCAAGCAUGAUGUGUCCCAAGCAGAGUGGAGCAGGCUGAGCAGGUUUUCAGCUCUGAGUGUUAGAACAUUCCUACCUAACAGGAGCCUGUGCUUACUGAGGUUUUUACCGAGAGCGAACCUGAUCUCGGAUCAGCUCAGAGCUUCUAGUCAAGACGGAGGGCAAGGCAGCGUGAGUUGGAAUAAAGCAGCAGAGAUCACUGACGCAGCUGGUUUCAGAGUUUACACAGAAUAGGGAGGAAAAAAACAAAAAAACAUCCUGAGGCAGACAGUCUGGAGGCUGAAACGCCUGGAGGAUCCGAGGAGAUGAGAAAAGAAUACUGGCCUGAGCUGACUGACUAGAAGUCUAUAAAUCCUCCACACACUCAGUGUUCACAGUUAAAGCCACAAAAAUCACACAUAUACCCUGAGCUUUGCUGUAAACAUUAACAUACAGGUCUGUUAAUGGAGACAUGUUUCCUUUGUUAUGUAAGUCUGUUACAGAUAUGCAUCAUUUGCUGAAUCAGCUUCAGUGCAAAUGGACAAUGCAGCACAUCUCUGUACUCCAGUUUUACCUCCAGGCUGCAGUGUUGGUCAGUGAAAUCAGUCUGCUUUUGCUAGUGAGGAACCUGAGCACAGAAGGGUGAUCAAGCGUUCAUCAAAGCUGUGUGACUCGAUGGUGCCGGGAACCAAAUGCAACAUCAAAAAUAACACACGGCCUGUUGUUUUCAACUCUCUCACCACUAAUAUUCUUUCUUAGACAAAGACUUAGAUCUGAAAGAUUCCACAGUUUAAAGAUAAGUGAGACAGCAAAUCUCCUUAGAGCAAAACACCAUGAUAAACAGUUCUAGUAUGGGAUGCAAAAUGUCACAGAACCUGUUCUUUAAAAACAUCCAGGCUAUUUUAAGUUAGAGAAAAACAUGCUAUGUGAAAACACAUUUCUUCAUUAAACAAUUCAUACAUUAAAAAUA